GACAGAGGGGGCAAGCGUUGCUCGGAAUUACUGGGCGUAAAGGGCGCGUAGGCGGGAUGGCAAGUCGGUCGUGAAAUCCCUCGGCUCAACCGAGGAACGUCGAUCGAUACUGCUGUUCUUGAGGAUUGCAGAGGAGACUGGAAUUCCCGGUGUAGCGGUGAAAUGUGUAGAUAUCAGGAGGAACACCGGUGGCGAAGGCGGGUCUCUGGGAAGGUACCGACGCUGAGGAGCGAAAGCGUGGGGAGCGAACAGG
rnacentral:rRNA from 1 species